rnacentral:rRNA from 1 species
CUACGGGUCGCAGCAGUGGGGAAUAUUGGACAAUGGGGGCAACCCUGAUCCAGCCAUGCCGCGUGUGUGAAGAAGGCCUUCGGGUUGUAAAGCACUUUCAACAGUGAGGAAAGGUUAGUAGUUAAUACCUGCUAGCUGUGACGUUAACUGUAGAAGAAGCACCGGCUAACUCCGUGCCAGCAGCCGCAGUAAUACGGAGGGUGCAAGCGUUAAUCGGAAUUACUGGGCGUAAAGCGCGCGUAGGUGGUUUGUUAAGCGAGAUGUGAAAGCCCCGGGCUCAACCUGGGAACUGCAUUUCGAACUGGCAGGCUAGAGUACAGAAGAGGAUAGUGGAAUUUCCAGUGUAGCGGUGAAAUGCGUAGAGAUUGGAAGGAACACCAGUGGCGAAGGCGACUGUCUGGUCUGAUACUGACACUGAGGUGCGAAAGCGUGGGUAGCAAACAGGAUUAGAUACCCCAGUAGUC